CCUACGGGUGGCUGCAGUGAGGAAUAUUGGUCAAUGGGCGCGAGCCUGAACCAGCCAAGUAGCGUGAAGGUUGACUGCCCUACGGGUUGUAAACUUCUUUUAUAAAGGACUAAAGUGAGGCCCGUGUGCCUUUUUGUAUGUACUUUAUGAAUAAGGACCGGUUAACCCCGUGCCAGAAUCCGCGGUAAUAGGGGGGAGCAGAGCGUUACCCGGAUUUCUUGGUUUUAAGGGGAGCGUAGAUGGGUUGUUAAGUCAGGUGUGAAAGUUUGCGGCUCAACCGUAAAAUUGCAAUUGAUACUGGCAGUCUUGAGUACAGUUGAGGUAGGCGGAAUUCGUGGUGUAGCGGUGAAAUGCUUAGAUAUCACGAAGAACUCCGAUUGCGAAGGCAGCUUACUAAACUGCCACUGACAUUGAUGCUCGAAAGUGUGGGUAUCAAACAGGAUUAGAUACCCCAGUAGUC
rnacentral:rRNA from 1 species